rnacentral:rRNA from 1 species
CGGAGGUCCAAGCGUUAUCCGGAAUCAGUUGGGUUUAAAGGGUCCGUAGGCGGUUUUGUAAGUCAGUGGUGAAAGCCCAUCGCUCAACGGUGGAACGGCCAUUGAUACUGCAAGACUUGAAUUAUUAGGAAGUAACUAGAAUAUGUAGUGUAGCGGUGAAAUGCUUAGAGAUUACAUGGAAUACCAAUUGCGAAGGCAGGUUACUACUAAUAUAUUGACGCUGAUGGACGAAAGCGUGGGGAGCGAACAGGAUUAGAUACCCUGGUAGUCCACGCCGUAAACGAUGGAUACUAGCUGUUCGGAGCAAUCUGAGUGGCUAAGCGAAAGUGAUAAGUAUCCCACCUGGGGAGUACGUUCGCAAGAAUG